UACGUAGGUCCCGAACGUUGCGCGAAUUUACUGGGCGUAAAGGGUCCGCAGGCGGUUUAGCAAGUGGGUGGUGAAAUUUCACCGCUCAACCGUGAAACUGCCUUCUAAACUGCUAAACUUGAGGCAGGGAGAGGUCGGCGGAAUUCCAGGUGUAGAGGUGAAAUGCGUAGAUAUCGGGAGGAACACCAGUGGCGAAGGCGGCCGACUGGAACUGUCCCGACGCUGAGGGAAGAAAGCUAGGGGAGCAAACCGG
rnacentral:rRNA from 1 species